rnacentral:rRNA from 1 species
UUCCUCCCCCCCCGGUUAUACGGGGGGUGCGAAGCUUUUUGGAAUUUCUGGGGUUAAACCCCCGCCGGCGGUUUUUCAUUUGGAUGUAAAUUCCCCCGGUCUCACCCUGGGAACUGCCUUUCGAAACUGGCAGGCUGGAGUCUUGUAGAGGGGGGGUAGAAUUCCAGGUGUAGCGGUGAAAUGCGUAGAGAUCUGGAGGAAUACCGGUGGGGAAGGCGGCCCCCUGGACAAAGACUGACGUUCAGGUGCGAAAGCGUGGGGAGCAAACAGGAUUAGAUACCCUGGUAGUCCACGCUGUAAACGAUGUCGACUUGGAGGUUGUUCCCUUGAGGAGUGGCUCCGGAGCUAACGCGUAAGUCGACCGCUUGGAG